rnacentral:sRNA from 1 species
AAAUGAAAUAUACGCAAAAAUCCAAUCAAAUGUCACACUCGGUUGGAUUUGAAGAGCAAAGAGUGAAUUUUUUUUGAAAGGUGAGGGAAAACAAAAUAUAUACAUAUAUUAUAUAUAUAUAUAUCAAACAACUAGAGGUAGGAUUCAGAUAAUUCAAUUCAAUAGUAUGAACAAAUUCGAAGAAAGAUGUUUAGAACUGAAAAAUAAAGACAUUACAUAAUUAGUAUAUGGAUUUCUUUUUCGAAAACUGACCCUUCCAGUGUUUGAAUUCCGAUCGUGUGGCCUAGAAAAAAAAAACGAUGAACCUUAUCAACGCGCAUUUAACCCUAUAGUGCCCCCGCUGCCUUCACUUUUUCGGCAGCAUUUGCCCCAAUUUGGUAAUGAGCCAUGUGGUCAGCCCCUGGGCAUUUACUGACCGAUUUCCCCAAAUGAAUGCGAUAAAUUAACGUGUACUACCUAAAUAUGUGAAGGGGGUAGGGGAGGGGGGAGGGUAUUCUUAUCAGAAUGUGCAGAAGUUCCAACUGAUAGAGCGUUCGGGGCAAACAAAACCUAAAACGAGACCGAACGAGGCGAAAGUCAAACAAACAACAGAAAUAACAAUUUUUUGCCGGCAACGUUGCUAAUGACGACACUGAAAAAAGGGCGUUGAGAAGGGGGCGGGGCCGAGGUGGGCGAGGGGUGUCAACUGCCGCGCGCUAUUUGAAAAUCGUUAACAACGUCAAUGGCAACAAAAGUGCAGCACAUUUUCUGAAGCUGCACUUGGGGAAAAAUAAGAUAGUAUUCUUAUGCGCUCAUUAGUUGUAUUCUAUAAAAAUCGUAAUGUUUUAUUAUUUUAUUUUUCCGAUUUUCCAAAGUUAUGUGCAAGCUAAACAAACAAGUGCGAAAAUAAUUACUUUAAUUUAUUUGUUUAUCACUUUAUAGCAUUUCAGUUAAUUCCACUUAAUAGCAGUCUGAUAGCAGGUGCUUCGAAUGAUAUGUUUAGAAAAUUGAUAAGAUAUAAAGAAUAAUUUAUUUAUUUCAUAUCAAUGAAAAGGGCACUCGGUAAUUAAAAUUACAUAUAUUUUUACUGAAUAUUUGAAGCAAUAAAUGCAUUUCUUUGAUUACGAUUAGCUAUUCCAACUUCUGUUUGUAUAUAUUAACCCAUAUUUUGCCAAUUUUAAGGAUUCCUUUUUUUUUUAUUUUCCGUAUGUAUAUGUGCACAAGGGAUAUCGAAUAUCUUUUAUUAAUAAUUCUAAAUUAUUUCGGGUACUAUUUGUUUUGGAAAGCUUCCGUUAGCCGGUGGUCUUCAUUUCAAUUUCUUUUGGCUUUCAUCGCAGCCCCCUCUUAACCCUACACCGCCCACCCCCUCCUCGUUUUUGUUGACGUUGGCUUAACACUUUCCGACCUUUUUUUCGAUGCGGUUCGAUGGCAACGGCGCUCGAAACUCAGAAUCAGUCGGGCUGCGUUGUCAGAGCGGUUGUGUUCUGCUGCUCGGAACUCGGUUUCCGAUUCGAUUCCGAUGCCAAUUGGACUCUCACUGGAGGCACCUAGGCACAUACAGUUCCAUUUGGUGUUUGUUUAAUUGCAAUUACAUCUGCGGUUGAUAAAGACUUUGAUUGAAAAUUAAAGCGUGCGCUAAAAAAUAAUUCGGAUUCGAUAAUAAAAAAAAAGUCUUUGACUUCAUUGCAAGGAAGAAGAUCCGAAGUUUUGUUAAUUUUUUUUUUCGGUUACUGUGCUAAUCAAAAAUUACAAAUCAGAAAUUCGAAAUUUUUCGGCGAUAGGCCAGCGGAAGCUGAUAAACAACAGAGAAGCGGCGGCAUCUGGAAAAUAAUAAAACUCGAGGGUUUGAGGUGAGUUCCCUUUUGAGUGUGAAAAUCGAGUGGAAGAGCGGCGGCUGCGCACUUCUUAUCGCGGGCUUUUCGCACAAGGGGGUUUUUCUCGUCGACAAAAAACUGUCAAAUGAGCAAAGAGGCGGAAAAGAGACGAAACAACAACAAAUGCAGCGGAACAAGAAAAAAUGGAAAGCAAAUAGAAAACGACAACAAAAAGCAGCCCCAAACAACAACAAAUGUAACGCGGAAAAGGCAGUUUUCUUUGGCCGCAGCAGCAGCAGCAUGCGGGAAAAUCAUCCGCAAGCCGCAAAAUAAAUAUGAUUCAAUAAAUAACUAAACGCAGAUAGCAAUAACCAUGAGCAAUAUCUAUUAAAUCCAUUUAAAUAAACCGCUAUAUUUUUGUUAAAACUACUUUUUUUUCGAGUGCCCAAGUGUGUGUGCAUAAAUGUUUUUAAGAAAAGUCACAAGCUGUGCAGCAAAAAUUUUAAACAUUAGGUGCCAAAAAAUUCAAUGAAAAACCAAACAAGCUCGGCAAACAAAUGUUUAGUGUUUGAAAACCAAAUAUGAAACACUUCGGGCAACUAAAUGAAUAAAGUGUCGUGGUAAAUUUAUACAUAUACGUGGAUAAAUCAAGGAAAAUCGAAAUUUUCCAGCCCAAAUGAAUAUGCAAACCAAAAUAAACAACAAAAUAACAUAGGCGGCAUUCUGCAGAGAGCAAGAAGCAGAGCAGAAUCCGAGGAGACAAAAGGUACGUUUAUUCUUACACUCGAACACCCAAUUAGGUGUGACCAAAACGUAUGUAUCUAGGCGUACGAAUUGAUAUACAUAUAUAUAAGGUUUAUAUACACUCCAAGCCCGAUCCAAAUCCCCCAACGUCGUGUGUUAAACAAAUUGGCAUUAGUUUAAUUGGCAGUGAGCGGGUAACUACUUAGGUGGCUGAGUGGUUUGAUCCACAGUGAAUCGAACGGUGGCAAAUUAUGGCUUAUAAAGUUCCAAAUGAAAUUAUAGCCAUUGAAUUAACUAAUUGCAUUUCCCGUGGCCACCCAAAAGGGGUUACGCCAUACACAUGCAGUACAUACACGCGACAAACAGCACAAACAGGACAAACAGGACAUGCUGGACUCCCCAAAUUUCCCCCUUUCCGUUGGUUAAUCAAGUAUAAUCAAUGGCUGUGUCCUGCUUCUUAGGGAUGAUUACAUUCUGUGGACUGCGGUCAAGGAAUUUGAGCACAUUUCUGCGUACAUUACUUAACAUUUCGAUUAAUUAGCCGUUGCUCACUGUACGCAAAUUUGAGAUACAUCUUCAAAUUGCCGCAGUCGAAUAAAUAUCUUAGAAAGUGUGGCACAAUCAAAUUUCUAGCAAAGAAUCAGGCUUUUUGCAGCAUGAAGCAACUUUUCAGUUGCUACGUUAUGACGUUUAAUAUCGCCAGCCCUUUUAUCCUGAGUCCUUCGCAUUUGCCUUGUGGUAGUCCCUUUAAUGCGCUUAACAUCUCCUCAGCAUCCUGAGCAUCCUGAGCUGCUGUUCCUUGAGCACACGAUUGUGUGUGCCCGAUUGUGGUCGGGAUUCGGGAUCUGGGAGAGCUCAAAACCCUUCGAAGUACAGUAGGCAAAUUUUCGAUAUGCUGCCAGAUUGUUAUGUUUAAGCAAAACAUUUUAAUACUACUAAAGAAACAUAAUUCAGGUGGUACAAGUUGAAAAUAUGUAUCACAACAACUUGGGGAAACAGUGUUUUUCCGACUAAAAAGCAUGGUUUCAUAACUUGUUUUUUUUUCGAAACUGCUUGAUUUGAACUAAAUGCUUAACAAAGCAAAUACUUUAUUCAAACGUUGACUUAUUUUCUGCGUGUAUAUUCCACACAUGCAUCGAGGGCGUUCUUAAUGAUGCGCAGUUCGCACUCCAAUCUUGAGUUUGGGAUUGAACACAGAGACCUGGAAUAAAAAAGUGGCUAGAAAAGCGGCGAAGGAAUAAUAGCUUAGCUGGGGAGCGGAUGUGAGGGAAGCCCCCCGUGAAAACUGGCGAAAAUGGAGCGCCCUUAAGCCUUUGCCAUGGCAAUUUGUUUCGCAACAGUUGAACAAAUUUAAUGCAAUAAGCCAGCACGGCGCAAAAAAUCGUAAUCCUUGUCUGUUAAAUAUAUGUGUUAUAUAUGUAACAUUUUUUACCAACACUGGUUCCAAUUAAGUUGUGGAAAUAUGUGCAUACUUUUAUCAUAAACUCAAGAACACGUAAUUUCGCCAAGUGUUAUUAUAGCGCUGCCCCCAUGGCAACGCAUCGAAUCUGUGUCUAUAUUUUGUGGCCCAAGGAUAUUUCGUUUAACUUUUUCUGAUUGAAAUAUUCCUUUCUAUGAACGAGAUGUGUGUGUUUGCUUUUGCCUGGGCCAAAGUUACACAGCGGCUCGUUUCUAAUGGUAAGCUGCAAUUUAUAACAAUUUAAUUUACACAUAACUCAGCACUAAGCUUCAACUAAGCCACAAAAUGUGCAUCUUCAUCCAGCCAAGUGUCAACAAGAGGAACACAUAGGGGUUAAGGCGGCAACGGGUUAAUAGGAGGGCUACAAAUAUUUUCCUAUUGCAAUUUAAAAUGUUUACUUUGUGGGGCAGAGCGGGCGCGGUUGAGGACGUUAUAAACUGUAUUUGCCAUUUCGCAAUAAAAUGAAAAUUCGUUGAAAAAUGGAAAUUCAUAGAGAGAAGAGCUAAAUGGAUGACAACGAGUGCUGAUUGUUGUUCAAGUAUCUUUCCUACGUAAAUGUACAUAUAUUCAUAUGUUAGAACACAUACCAUUUAAGUGGUAACCACUCGCAAAUUGAAACUGCCCAGAAAUAUAUGCACACAAUGUUGUGAUAUAUGGCAAUAACCCAAUGGCUUGCACCUUUUUCCCAUUGUUAAUUUUUGUUUAUAGGUUUUCGUGUGUUUCAAAUUUAAUUUGUAAAUAAAUAUUUGUGCGUCUAAACUCAUGAUCCCUCCUCCAUCAUCAAAGUCCUCAUUCGUCAAUCAGUGAAUUUGUUAAUUCAACUAAAACAGUUGCCAAACGAAUAAAAUCAAACGAUGUGCGGAGUAAAUUUCCAUUAGACGGUAGAAAUUCGCAUAUAAAUCAGCAUAAUUUACAACUGUUUUUGGAAAACUUAAGUAUUUAUGGAGGUGGGUGUGUUUUCAGUAUAUUUAUAUACACACAUACAAAUUGAUCGUAAAUCUUGGCCAUUUCGCCGAGUUCUUUUUUUUUCUGUUUUUUUCUGCCCUUGUCCGAUUUGCAUUUCCCUUGGGCAUAAAUUUCGAUUUUCCAUUUCUUCCUCUUUCAUCAUUCCAUUUCAACACGAAUUAGCAUUUGGCAACUUAAUUAAAACGAUUUUUUCACAUUUUCUUUUUU